GGCGUCUUGGCUUUAACAUCCUGGAGCAGUGGAAGAACAUCAUCAUCAUCAUCUGUUGGAACUCUGAAGACAUGUUCCUUUACUCCUUUCUACUUUUCUAUCACUUUAUAGCCCUGGCCUCCAUGGUCACUAUAAAACCAGAAUCAACUGAAGAACAUGUUGAAGAGGGGAGAAACAUCAACCUGACCUGUUCAUAUGAAGGUCUUAUCAACAACAUCCAGUGGUACAGACAAAACCAGGGAACCAGACCAGAGUUCCUGCUCUCCAUCACAGAGAGCAGAUUAAUUCAUCCACCUGACUCUGGUUUCUUAGCUGACAUUAACAAAGAGGAGAAACGUGUAGAUCUGGAGAUCUCCUCUGCUGCACUGACUGACUCUGCUGUGUACUACUGUGCUCUGAGGCCCACAGUGACAGGAAACACCAACACUCUGUACAAAAACCUUUGGAGCAAACACAACACAAUACUCCACAACAUCCACUAGAG